GUAAGGAAGACUCCGCCCAUCACUUCGGUCCAUCAGCUGCGACACCUUCAAAAUCCUGUGGACAGAAAUGUCCAUUAAAUGUUUUUAAAGUCAGGCGUAGAGGAAUCAAACUGUUUGGAUUAUUUCAUUGUUGGAAGAAAUAUGCUUCAAAAGUCACAGAAUGACAAACCCUGACCUUGCUGUUAUUGAAGAGGUCUGAGACACUCAGAGGGGUAUUUAAUUAAAAGCCUUUCAUUCAUCAGGGCUACAGAUGUCAUGUCUCUCUCACUCUGUGGCGCCCUCCUUCAUUCCUUUCACCUGCUCUCACCUGCACACCAGCUCUCCAUCUCCUCAUCAACUCAGUAGUAUAUAUACCCCGGCUCUCCAUCCACUCAUCGCCAGAUCGUUGUGUCAACUACUGCGGAUCACCAUUCCCCCACCUGCCUUCCUGCUCAGCCAUCUGCCUCAACCUGCUCUCUGGAUUCAAAACUGCUCAGCCACGCUCACACCCCUACUCUGGUCUGGUCAGCCUUCAUCCCCUUCACUCUUCUAACCUCCACAAUAAACCUCAUUACCAAUCAA